GAAAUUCGUAGAUAUUAGAAAGAAUACCAAUUGCGAAGGCAGCUUUCUGGAUCAUUACUGACACUGAGGAACGAAAGCAUGGGUAGCGAAGAGGAUUAGAUACCCUCGUAGUCCAUGCCGUAAACGAUGUGUGUUAGACGUUGGAAAUUUAUUUUCAGUGUCGCAGCGAAAGCGAUAAACACACCGCCUGGGGAGUACGACCGCAAGGUUAAAACUCAAAUGAAUUGACGGGGACCCGCACAAGUAGUGGAGCAUGUGGUUUAAUUCGAAGAUACGCGCAGAACCUUACCAACACUUGACAUGUUCGUCGCGACUUUAAGAGAUUAAAGUUUUCGGUUCGGCCGGACGAAACACAGGUGCUGCAUGGCUGUCGUCAGCUCGUGUCGUGAGAUGUUGGGUUAAGUCCCGCAACGAGCGCAACCCUCACUUUUAGUUGCCAUCAUUAAGUUGGGCACUCUGAAAGAACUGCCAGUGAUAAGCUGGAGGAAGGUGGGGAUGACGUCAAGUCCUCAUGGCCCUUACGUGUUGGGCUACACACGUGCUACAAUGGUAUCUACAACAGGAAGCAAAACGGCGACGUUAAGCAAAUCCUUAAAAGAUACCUCAGUUCGGAUUGUACUCUGCAACUCGAGUACAUGAAGCUGGAAUUACUAGUAAUCGUGGAUCAGCGUGCCACGGUGAAUGCGUUCCCGGGUCUUGUACACACCGCCCGUCACACCAUGGGAGUUGGUUCUACCUUAAGGCAAGGCUUAAAACCCUUGACCACGGUAUAGUCAGCGACUGGGGUGAAGUCGUAACAAGGUAACCGUA
rnacentral:rRNA from 1 species